rnacentral:rRNA from 1 species
CCUACGGGAGGCAGCAGUGGGGAAUAUUGGGCAAUGGGCGCAAGCCUGACCCAGCAAUGCCGCGUGAAGGAAGAAGGCUUUCGGGUUGUAAACCUCUUUGACUGGGGAAGUGCAGAAGACGGUACCCUGAAAACAAGCCACGGCUAACUACGUGCCAGCAGCCGCGGUAAUACGUAGGUGGCCAGCGUUGUCCGGAUUUACUGGGUGUAAAGGGCGUGUAGCCGGGAAGGCAAGUCAGAUGUGAAAUCUGGAGGCUCAACCUCCAAAUUGCAUUUGAAACUGGUUUUCUUGAGUACUGGAGAGGCAGACGGAAUGCCUGGUGUAGCGGUGAAAUGCGUAGAUAUAAGGAGGAACACCAGUGGCGAAGGCGGUCUGCUGGACAGCAACUGACGGUGAGGCACGAAAGCGUGGGGAGCAAACAGGAUUAGAUACCCGAGUAGUC